CGGACGGGUGAGUAACGCGUGGAUAACCUGCCGUAUACUGGGGGAUAGCACUUAGAAAUAGGUGCUAAUACCGCAUAAGCGCACAGUCUCGCAUGAGACGGUGUGAAAAACUCCGGUGGUAUACGAUGGAUCCGCGUCUGAUUAGCUUGUUGGCGGGGUAACAGCCCACCAAGGCGACGAUCAGUAGCCGGCCUGAGAGGGUGAACGGCCACAUUGGGACUGAGACACGGCCCAAACUCCUACGGGAGGCAGCAG
rnacentral:rRNA from 1 species